rnacentral:rRNA from 1 species
AUUGAACGCUGGCGGCAGGCCUAACACAUGCAAGUCGAGCGGCAGCGGGAAAGUAGCUUGCUACUUUUGCCGGCGAGCGGCGGACGGGUGAGUAAUGCCUGGGAAAUUGCCCAGUCGAGGGGGAUAACAGUUGGAAACGACUGCUAAUACCGCAUACGCCCUACAGGGGAAAGCAGGGGACCUUCGGGCCUUGCGCGAUUGGAUAUGCCCAGGUGGGUAUAGCUAGUUGGUGAGGUAAUGGCUAACCAAGGGGACGAUCCCUAGCUGGUCUGAGAGGAUGAUCAGCCACACUGGAACUGAGAAACGGUCCAGACUCCUACGGGAGGCAGCAGUGGGGAAUAUUGCACAAUGGGGGAAACCCUGAUGCAGCCAUGCCGCGUGUGUGAAGAAGGCCUUCGGGUUGUAAAGCACUUUCAGCGAGGAGGAAAGGUCAGUAGCUAAUAUCUGCUGACUGUGACGUUACUCGCAGAAGAAGCACCGGCUAACUCCGUGCCAGCCGCCGCGGUAA